rnacentral:rRNA from 1 species
GGAUUAGGCAUGCAAGUCGAACGAAUCCCGAAGAUGUAGCAAUACAUUGACGGGGGAAGUGGCGAAAGGGGCAGUAAUGCAUGGGUAACCUACCUUCAGGUCGUGGAUAGCCUUUCUAACGAUUGGGUAAUACACGGCGUGGUCAUGGGGCGGCAUCGCUUGAUGACUAAAGAAUUUCGCCUGGAGAGGGGCCCAUGUCGUAUCAGCUUGUUGGUGAGGUAACGGCCCACCAAGGCUAAAACGCGUAGCGGGUGUGAGAGCACGACCCGCGCCACUGACACUGAGACACUGGCCAGACUCCUACGGGAGGCUGCAGUCGAGGAUCUUUGGCAAUGAGCGCAAGCUUGACCAAGCGACGCCGAGUGUGCGAUGAAGGCCUUCGGGUUGUAAAGCACUGUCGAGGGGGAGGAAGCCGAAAGGUUGACCUAUCCCUGGAGGAAGCACGGGCUAAGUUCGUGCCAGCAGCCGCGGUAAGACGAACCGUGCAAACGUUGUUCGGAAUCACUGGGCUUAAAGGGCGCGUAGGCGGAUCCAUCAGUCUGUGGUGAAAUCCUCCAGCUUAACUGGAGAAGUGCCAUGGAUACUGUGGGUCUCGAGGAGGAUAGGGGCAUCUAGAACUGCCGGUGGAGCGGUGAAAUGCGUUGAUAUCGGCAGGAACUCCGGUGGCGAAGGCGAGAUGCUGGAUCCUUUCUGACGCUGAGGCGCGAAAGCCAGGGGAGCAAACGGGAUUAGAUACCCCGGUAGUCCUGGCCCUAAACGAUGAGAACUAGAUAGCGAGGGUGACAUGCCCCCGCUGUCGGAGCAAAAGUGUUAAGUUCUCCGCCUGGGGAGUAUGGUCGCAAGGC